UGACUGUCAAGCAAGACACGAUGUGGUGUUUUUAUACAUUUUAUGUAUUCUCUCAUCAAGGCUCAAUGUGUCCUUUCAUUGUAGAAUCGAGCUCAUUUUGGUGUAAACCAGUCCUCUGAAAGAGGAAUGGAAACGUCUUCAUUUGCAGGGCAUGUGCUUGCUCACAGCGUCCAUGGACAUGAAUUUAAGCAGAAGUUCCCGUACUCUCACCAGGAGGCCAGAAAAUACAGUAAGCUGACCCAUUGUCAUUGAAUAAUGGCUGACUGAAGUGAAGACGCUUGCAAUACAAGGAAGUCAACCUUUUUCAACGUACUGACAAAGAGUCAAGCUGCAACUGAGAAUUUCCCCUUCUGCACCAUUGACCCAAAUGAAAGCCGAGUGCCCAUUCCAGAUGAACGCUAUGAUUUCCUGUGCCAAUUCCACAAGCCUGUCAGCAAGGUGACCGGCCUUCCUGAACAUGGUGGGCAUAGCAGGACUGGUGAAGGGAGCUCACGCUGGCCAGGGCCUGGGCAAUGCCUUCCUGUCCCACAUCAGUGCCGGCGAUGGCAUAUUCCACACGACACGUGCGUUUGCAGAUGAGGACAUUGUCCACGUGGAGGGGAACGUGGACCCAGUGAGGGACAUUGAGAUCAUCCAUGAGGAGCUGAGGCUGAAGGAUGAGGAGAUGAUCGGGCCCAUUAUGGAGAAGCUGGAAAAGGUGGCCGCGAGGGGAUGCGACAAGAAACUCAAACCUGAAUAUGACGUAACGCUCCAAAUCAAGAACUGGGUAGCGGAUGAAAAGAAACGUGUUCGCUACUGUCGUGGUUGGACUGAGAAAGAGAUCGAAGUGUUGAACAAAUACUUGUUUUUGACAUCCCAAGCCAAUGAUUUACCUCAUUAACCUCUCAGAGAAAGACUACUUCAGAAGAAAGAACAAAUGAAAGGAACCAAGGCUCCACAGGCAGCUGGCAAGAUCCACGCAGACUUUGAGAAGGGCUUCGUUAUGGCUGAAGUAAUGAAAUUCGCCAGAUUUUAAAGAGGGAGGCAAGCGAGAAUGCUGUCAAGGCAGCAGGGAAAUACAGACAACAGGGAAAAACCUACAUUGUGGAAGACGGAGACAUUAUCUUUUUCAAAUUCAACACGCCAAACCAGCCCAAGACUAAGAAGUGACUCAGUCGCAGUCUGUCGGCUACCAGAAUGGACUGUGCCGUUAGAGAAUUCUUCUUUGUUUUAGACAGAAUGAAGCUGGAGAUUGAUUGCUACUUGCCAAGUCGGCUCAGUCCUACCUACUGCCCACUCUGCCACAUUAUCCCUGUUUAUUUUCUGUCCAGGAGAAUUCUAUACAAUCCCCCUUGCCAAAGCACAGAUCCACUAAACACUGACAGCUUUGCUAUUUAAGAUCAGGA